ACGCCAUCAGCCGGCGCGAUGUUUUUAGACUCCGGUGAUGUCGUGGCGCUUUGGAGAAAGAAGUUGGUGUUUCUCUGGGCCUUGGUACUGAAGACGCCGUCCGGGCGACCCCUGGCUCCUUCUUAUCCACCCCUCCAUCUGCUUUUUUCUUCCCUACUCUGGCAGGAUGAGGCGUGCAGGCCUGGGUGAAGGAGUACCUCCUGGCAACUAUGGGAACUAUGGCUAUGCUAACAGUGGCUACAGUGCCUGUGAAGAAGAAAACGAGAGACUCACUGAAAGUCUGAGAAGCAAAGUAACUGCUAUAAAAUCUCUUUCCAUUGAAAUAGGCCAUGAGGUUAAACAUCAAAAUAAAUUAUUAGCUGAAAUGCGGGAAGAUGAGGUAGAAGCCACGGUAUCUUCCGUCUUGUAUUUAGAAACACUGUUGAAGACUCGGGGCAAAUGACUGUUUUGCUUGUUCUUGGAAAUCUCAAUGGCUACAGACUACCGAGUAAUCAGAAAGCACUUCAGAUCCAACCAGCUGAAUGUCUUUCACUUAAUGAUUCACAAUUUGAUUCUACAACUGGAUUUCUAGGUAAAACUAUGGGGAAACUGAAGAUUUUAUCUAGAGGAAGCCACACAAAGCUGCUGUGCUAUAUGAUGCUGUUUUCAUUGUUUGUCUUUUUGGUCAUUUAUUG